CCCUUAGAUGUUCGGGGCCGCACGCGCGCUACAAUGAGUCGAUCAACGAGCGUUCUUUUUUCCAAGUCCGAAAGGUCGAGGUAAUCCGUUGAACCCGACUCGUGCUAGGGAUAGGGAAUUGUAAUUGUUUCCCUUGAACGAGGAAUUCCCAGUAAGCGCAAGUCAUCAGCUUGCGUUGAUUACGUCCCUGCCCUUUGUACACACCGCCCGUCGCUCCUACCGAUUGGGUGUGCUGGUGAAAUGUUCGGAUCGGCCGUUUGUCGCGGUUUCCGCGUCAUGUGGCUGAGAAGUUCAUUAAACCCUCCCACCUAGAGGAAGGAGAAGUCGUAACA
rnacentral:rRNA from 1 species